rnacentral:rRNA from 1 species
CGGACGGCGAACGGGUGAGUAACACGUGGGUAACCCACCCUUGGUAUCCGGAUAGCCCGGGGAAACCCGGAUUAAUACGGAAUGGCCCAACAGCCUCUCGAGGCGGUUGGAAAAGGUAGCUUCGGCCUCCGACCAAGGACGGGCCCGCGGCGGAUUAGCUUGUUGGUGAGGUAACGGCUCACCAAGGCGACGAUCCGUAGCUGGUCUGAGAGGAUGAUCAGCAUCACUGGGACUGAGACACGGCCCAG